rnacentral:lncRNA from 1 species
GUCUUUGAUAUGGGUAAAUUUCUGUUCCUUUGCCAAAAUAUGUUAUGGGAUUUUCAAUUUCUCCAAAUUUGUUAAAUUACAUGAGAAACCCUUGAUUUUCUGUAAGUAGGAAUUUGAGUUAAAGAUUGAACAUUACUUGUUAGAAGACUUAAAAUCUUUACAUAAUUUAUGGGACGAACUUUGUUUAUUCAAGGGUUCUUUAACUAAAAGGAGAUAAGAUUAAGGAAUUGCAAAUUGACGCAGUUCCUUUUUUUUUUUAUUUUGGGAGAAGGUUCAUAUUUUUUCCUUUUAUUAGCCCGCAUUGAUGAUAGAGAUACUCCUCGGCAACCAAACUUGUAUCUUGGAGCAAUAUGAUGGAGUCAUCUGUGUAAGUGAAACAUGUUAUUAAUUUGCCAUUCUAAUACGAUUCUAAUCCCCCUUUUUUCCCAGUUAGACAAAUUAGAAGUUCCUUGUUUAAAGUUUCCGAUUUGUAUUUCUCUUUUUAGUGCGGUACUGCCUAUUGUGUGCAAGGAAGGUCCGAAAAGAAAAAGACAAGAAUGGAGGUAUGCCUGGUGCAUUAUUUUGAUAAUCGAAUCGCCUUUAGCAGGCAUUUUCAAUUAUGCAUUGAUUUGAAGCUGAUGUGUGUUUAAACAUUUGUGUUGUAUUUUCUGGAACGAAGAGAAUGUAAAUAUGACCAGAAGACUUCGAAAGACUUUUUGAAGGUCGAUUAUAUUUCUGAUAUCAUUUUUUCUCGAGUACUGAAAUUUAUCCUCUUCAACGUAGAAAGGAGAUUCUGAGCAACCCUUCUAAACUGGAAUGAUAGUGUAAGCAGUUAUUUUCUUCAUUAUAAUACUUGUCUAACUCUUGCAAAAUAUAGAUAAACAUGUGUUGGCUAUUUUGUUUGAGAUUGCUCGAAAGAUAGGUUUUUGGCAUUGCAGGUUCAUGUUAACUCCAGACAGAAAUUUUGUACAAGUACUAUUAAAUUGUAGUACAUGCAAUGCAAGUUUGAGAGGAGAUACUUGCCGAGAUUUGUGCUAAGCUUUCAACUCCAAAACGUCUCAAGUAGCUUGUAGAACAUUUCUUCCGAUCCUAGAGGCAAUGGUGUACUGUGUUGCUUUACGGUGGGGUGGGAAAAAUAUGCAGGGAAUAUGCAGGGGCUAAAAUUAUAGUUGUUGAGGAUACAUAUUUUUUUAGUUCAUUAAUUAAGGGUUGCCUGUCAUUUGAGUCUACGAGUUCUCAUGUUGAUAUAUCACUCAUUACCACUUGAUUCAAUUCUUAUAUAUUUUAGCAAUUCAAUUCUUAUAUAUUUUAGCAAUUCUUAUAAAUUUCAUUGGUGCAUGAAUUAUCGAAUUUAGACAUGAACAUUUUACCCUUUUAUACCCACAUAACUCAAUUUUACUGUUCUGAGAUAUGCAUUUUGAGGCAUUUGAACAUGUUUUUGUUAUCUAUUUUCACUGACAACUUUUAGUUAAUGGUUGCUAUUAUUAAAUGGUCAAGCAAUUAAGUUUUGUUUUUGAUUCUUUUUUCCCAUUUCUUGCAUACCCUUUUUUCUACUAAUUUCAUAUGUGCAUAAAUGGUCGAAUUUAGACUUUAACAUUUCAUCUUUUUUCCCCCCCUCUAUCCUAUAGCUCAUUUUAACUAUUUUAUGAUACCUGCUCUGAAACAUCUGAACAUUUGUUGAUUAUCUAUCUUCAGUUGAAUAUUAUGUAAUGGUUGCAGCUAUCAGAUGACCGAGCAAAUACGUUAGGUUUUUAAUCAUUUUUCUAUGUUUCUAGCACGCCAUUCCUUCUAUUGCUACAUUAAAGUUUCUACUGGAUUCUCUCCUCUCUUCAUAGUUAUUUUAUUUCACAGCAGUUUUGUUCGCAUUGUUUUUUGCGUCUAUGAUCUAUCUGUGUUUUAUUGUGCUAUAAAAGGUACUACUAGAUUUCUCUCCUCUCUUCAUAGUUCUAUUUAUUCUCACGGCAGUUUUGUUGACAUUGUUUUUUGCCUCUGUCUAUCUGUGUUUUAUUGUGCUAUAAAAUCUCAAUGUGCUAUGUUUUUUGAAUUUGGUUUUUUAGUAAGUAAUUUCAAUCCUUGGUGUAUUCAUGUGCUUAAGCUUGAUGAACUAAUCAUCACUACUAAAAGAAGAGUGUGUUGGUUUUGGCACUGUUUACAUGGAUGCGUGCCAAGUUACAGUUUGCCUUUUUUUUUUUGGUUCCAUAUUUUCAUCCAAUACGUCAUCGUAUUGUACUUGACUUUUCUUUUCUUUCAAGCCAUUUCUCGUUACUCUCUCUGAAAAUCUCUUUGAUAUGUUUCAUCUCUCUUUCUUCUCUGUUGUUCUCCAUUUCCCCAUGCAACUACCGAUGUGUCUUUCACUUUCCCUAUAUUAAACUUACGAUUUUUGUGAAAUGCUUAGCUUUUAAAAUUUAGGGAAUUUUUGGUUUUUUUGGUGUGUGUGUGUGAGUUAAUGAUUUUGAGGUUCAGGUAAUUGGUUCGACUUAGACUACGGAGACAUCUUUUCAUCAACGAAUGAUUCACCGAAAGUGGAGGACAUGGUAAAUGAUGCUGUGGCGAAGGAAUCUGCGACGGAUGAGGUUUGAUCUGUUGAUCUAGCCAUCGAUUAUGGUGCAAAGCAAUUGGAUGUGAAGAUAUCGCCAAAGGCAGCGGUGGAAGGUGAGCCUUUGAGUUCUCCGAUAACUAUAGGUAUGAUUUCUAUAUCUACACGUGCUUUAUCAUGGUUUUUUUUUUUUUUCAAUAUUCUUUAGUGGCUCCCUUCUGGAAAUAUGUUUGGGUUAGUAUAUUCAGUUCUGGGUUUUUAUUAAUCUUCGGUGAAUUGUAUAGUGGACUUGAUGCUAUUCUUUGAUGCUUUNNNNNNNNNNNNNNNNNNNNNNNNNNNNNNNNNNNNNNNNNNNNNNNNNNNNNNNNNNNNNNNNNNNNNNNNNNNNNNNNNNNNNNNNNNNNNNNNNNNNNNNNNNNNNNNNNNNNNNNNNNNNNNNNNNNNNNNNNNNNNNNNNNAAGAUUAUUCAUAUGUUGAUAGCUAUACUAGCACCAUUGGAGUAGAUUUUGUGAAUUUUAUUCUCAUAAUCCUUUAUAUAUGUUGAUGAGAUUACAAAAUAGUUUAGUUAUUUUCAGGUCUUUGGCUAUGUUUUUAUUGAGGUCUAAUGUUAUUAUCCAUAAUUACUGCAAAAAAUUAGGACUGUGGAGCUGGAUAGGAAGACAAUUAAGCUGCAAAAUGUGAGUUCAUUUGACUUGAUGACUACUCUAUAGUUGUGAACAUGAGUUAAUUUGACCAAAUGACUACUUUAUAGUUGUGAAAUUAUAAAAACAUCUAUAUGAAUAUUAUUUUAGUUGUAUGUACUAUUCCUUUACGAUGGUUUUGCUACAUGUAAGCUGUGCUUCAAGCAAAUAAAUUUCGAAAGGGAAAAAAAUGUUUUGGUUUGAGGUUGUGAGGAUAGUUAGGACUCAAUAUUUUUCAUAUUUUUAGUCUAGAUUUAAUUGAUUGAGUUACAAUUGACAUUUCUUGCUAUCGAUAUGGAAUGAUUGGCUAUUAGUCUUCCUUUUUUCCCCCCCCUGUAUGUUUAUCGCUCUUAGUUUUGUCUUUGAGAUGAAGCAAACAGAGAUGGGCAUUUUUCGACAAUCGUAAAGAUUUAUUGCAGAGAUGAAAGUUGUAAUAAACCUCUUGUUAACUUUUGCCAUAAUGGCUGCAUUUGGUAUGAAUUUCCCUGAGAUAUGAAGGCCCUUUGCUCAAAUAUAUCAGAUCCAAUGUAUUGAUGUACAUAAAAUAUUCAUAUCUGUUCUCUACUUUUUGCUUCUAUUGUGGAGAAGCGCAAGAUUGAAAGUGGUUUGUAAGAAUUUUUUUAUUUCUAAUUCAUGUUUCAUAAAAUUUUACGGGAUGUAUUUGCGCAACUUACUCGCAAAUGUGAAAGACACAUUGGCACCCAAUCUGAGGAAUGGGCCAGGUACUCUGAAUUCUGCCCGAAGUUUCUAGGAAUCACCUGUUUUGAAAUUUCUAUAAACAUUUCAAGAAUUGUUAGAUUGAAAUGGUGGCUGUACUUGUUAAUAUGUAAUGCUUGUUUCUUGUAAUCCUUGUAAUAUUUUUGUUAUCACGGUGAAGGUAUGUAUUUAUUUAGAACUUAAAUUUUGUAUUGAAGAAAAUAUUUUUUAAAAGCCAACCACAUGCAUAUUUGUGUUAUAUCUUUGCAUUGUUGAUGCCGUUGUGUGGUUCUUUUACUUGCCAGCAUUUAUAUGCCUUAUUUAGUUGAUCUUGGACGUUCUUACAUGUCCGCUGCAAGUGUCAUGUUCUAUCGGUUUCUAACAUUGCCACAGGAAUUUUUGGAAGAAAAACAAUAUAAUGCUGAAUAAAUCGAGAAAAUCAUUGUAGAAAAGUGUUAGUUUGAAGCUAGUUUGCCAAUUCUCCCUUUUCCUUGGAUGUGCUGAAAGCAGGUACGCAUUUUAAGUUACAACGUGUGAUUUCCUGUUCAAUUUAAACAUAUUGGUAUUUGAAUGGCAUCAGAAUAUGUAACUUGUUAUCCUUCUUAUUUUCUGGUUUAUAUAACUUGGAUGCUGGGAAUUAGAUUGUUUCAGCAACAAUAUCCUUUUUAUUAUUUUAAUCAAUGAGAAUUUGGUGGUCUUUCCUUCAGAUUGGGUGCUUUUAAUCAGUUAGAAACAUUUAAACACGUUCUUUAGGAUCUCUAGCGAAGGAGUUGUUGGUUGAAAGAAUUUGAGCAUUCUGAUCAUUUGGUCGUCAAUACGACAAUGGAGGCAUGUGGAGAUCUACCAAUAGGAGAGACGAGUCAUUGUCUGCCUUUCGUUGUAUGGCAAUGCGUGUAUGUGCAUUGCAUAUCUUUUCAUUUGCUGAUUAAAUAUCUGUCUGUACACAGACCUCUCUUUGUUGUACAUUAUAUGUUUUUGCUUUUGUUCAUUUUGUGAAAAAUUAUACAUUAUUAUAUUUUUAUAUCUUCGUUAUUACAUAGUCAACUAUACCGUAUCACGUGCCUUGCACGUGCAUCUUACUAGUAAGGGAGUUUUAGUUACUGUUCAUAAGCCGAAUGGCCAUAAAAACCAAGCGUUGUUCGAGUCAGCUGGUUAGCCAAGUCGUGGGAGUGGGUGGGUGUAAAAAGAUCUUCCGCUGGAUUGUCUAGAACAUUCGUUUCUUCUUAUUUCUCUCUGGGGUUUUCUAUGUUCUCUCUUGGGUAUCUCAUCUGGCUUCUUUUUCCUUUGUAGAUAUUUAUGGUUUAGUAAAUGGAGAUGAUAAUAAUAAUAAUUUGUGGUUGCGUUGUUUCUCUAGAUCUAUGAUUGUUAAUUACAGAUCUUUUAGUGACAAGAACACUCCAAUUUUUUGCCAAUCGAAAAAGAAGAUGAUGAUUUUGACCUACCCACAAAAGGCUCAGGCGUGGGCCGAUGGUUGAUGAGAAAAAGAUGAAGCCCAAGAACAAUACCUAGUGCCAUGUCGAUGAUGAGAUUGAGGAUUUCUCUCAGGAGGAGGAUAGGCCCUUUGGUAUCAAAAAUUCAAUUUUUGUCUUUGUUUAAGCUUUUAUUUUUUGUCGAAUAUAUGGAAAUGUGGAAAAUGAUAUGAUUUUGCAAUUCUCCAGUAUUUUCUAUUUUUGUUGUUUUAUAUGACAUUUUAGGUUGGUUAGUUCAACAACAAGGAUCUCUGUGAAGGGGAAAUAAAUUUUUUUAUUUCAUUUGGUUAGGAACUAUUAGAUUUGAAAUGGGAUGUGUGAAUAAAUGUUAGUUUUAGUUUACCAAUAGUCCGUGUUAUAUUGAGAUCACUUAAUGAAAUAAUUUUUUUUUUGUCAUUUGGUUAGGAACUAUUAGACAACUAUUAGAUUUGAAAUGGGCUAUGUGAAUAAAUGUUAGUUUUAGUUUACCUCUCCUCCGUGUUAUAUUAAGAUCACUUAAUUAACUCUAAUAUACACGAUCAUCUUUAGUUCUAUGCAAAAAAAUUCCAAUCUCAUGUAGCUCUUGCCUCUUUAGCGUGUGUUUUGUUCUUUUAUAUUCCAG